UGUUCUUCUCUUUGGUUUUUGGGGUGCAAAAAUGCCGGUUUUGUCCAUGCUAGACGCGUGUUGGUAAGGGAAUGAUGCUGAAUUUACGCGUGUUGGUCAUCUGGGAAAGGAAGAAAGGUGGAAAGGCAGAGCUCUUUCAUUUGCUUCCACAGAUUUCUCGAGCUCUCUCUCAAGCCCGGAACCCUAGCCUCUGCAAGCGAAUCAGGUACAAAGAAUGGUGUGGACUAUGAAGGAAGCUUGCUUUGUGUUGGAAGUAUGUUGAUGUCUUGGGCUCCCAUCGAAAUCUCUGAUAUCACUCCUCCUGAUAGGGGAGAAAUUCUAUGUUCCGAAUGUCGAUCAUUACACAACAAACAUGUAAGUAAAGAUAUGUACUCGGGUGCUCUUUUGCGCCUACCUAGCCCGUGGUCCUGCUCAAGGAAGGAUGAUACAUACGUCCGGUGCGGCCGUACACAUGAUUCAAGAAAUCCUACGUCCAACCGCCCAUGCAACCCUAGAUCAUUGCAUCAUUUGAUAUAUAGUCCUCCAUUAAAGAAACGAAUCAUCUUCGUUAGAGUACUAAUUAUACAUUUUCUUGGGUACCAUAUUGUUCAGCUAGGAGCUAACUAGCAAUUAAAGUAACAGUCAAUCAAUCUUUCAAAUUUCACCAACGAAAUGGUAGCAGCCCUCCUCCAUGGCUU